rnacentral:rRNA from 1 species
UACGUAGGGUGCGAGCGUUGUCCGGAAUUAUUGGGCGUAAAGAGCUCGUAGGCGGUGUGUCACGUCGGCCGUGAAAACCUGCAGCUUAACUGUGGGCGUGCGGUCGAUACGGGCAUCACUGGAGUUCGGCAGGGGAGACUGGAAUUCCUGGUGUAGCGGUGAAAUGCGCAGAUAUCAGGAGGAACACCGGUGGCGAAGGCGGGUCUCUGGGCCGAUACUGACGCUGGAGGAGCGAAAGCCGUGGGGAGCGAUC